rnacentral:rRNA from 1 species
CAGUCGCCGCGGGAAUACGUAGGUGGCGAGCGUUGUCCGGAAUUAUUGGGCGUAAAGGGAGCGCAGGCGGGCGAGUAAGUCUUUCUUAAAAGUGCGGGGCUCAACCCCGUGAGGGGAGAGAAACUACUCAUCUUGAGUGCAGGAGAGGAAAGCGGAAUUCCUAGUGUAGCGGUGAAAUGCGUAGAGAUGUGGAGGAACACCAGUGGCGAAGGCGACUCUCAGGUCUGUAACUGACGCUGAGGAGCGAAAGCCAGGGGAGCGAACGGGAUUAGAUACCCGCGUAGUCCCUGUCUCUUAUACA